AGUGAACGCUGGCGGUAGGCCUAACACAUGCAAGUCGAACGGCAGCACAGUAAGAGCUUGCUCUUACGGGUGGCGAGUGGCGGACGGGUGAGGAAUACAUCGGAAUCUACUUUUUCGUGGGGGAUAACGUAGGGAAACUUACGCUAAUACCGCAUACGUCCUACGGGUGAAAGCAGGGGAUCUUCGGACCUUUCGCGAUUGAAUGAGCCGAUGUCGGAUUAGCUAGUUGGCGGGGUAAAGGCCCACCAAGGCGACGAUCCGUAGCUGGUCUGAGAGGAUGAUCAGCCACACUGGAACUGAGACACGGUCCAGACUCCUACGGGAGGCAGCAGUGGGGAAUAUUGGACAAUGGGCGCAAGCCUGAUCCAGCCAUACCGCGUGGGUGAAGAAGGCCUUCGGGUUGUAAAGCCCUUUUGUUGGGAAAGAAAAGAAGCAGGUUAAUACCCCGCUGUUCUGACGGUACCCAAAGAAUAAGCACCGGCUAACUUCGUG
rnacentral:rRNA from 1 species